rnacentral:tRNA from 1 species
GGAGAGGUGGCUGAGCGGUUGAAAGCGACGGUCUUGAAAAUCGUUGUAGGGGUAACUCUACCGUGGGUUCGAAUCCCACCUUCUCCG